CAGAGUUCGUGCCCUCACGGGUAGAUCUCCCACCCUGUGUUAUUAUACCUUUGUUGCUUUGGCGGGCCGCCCUCGGCUACCGGCCCCGGCUGGUACGCGCUCGCCAGAGGACCCAAAACUCUUGAAUUUAUUAUUGUCUGAGUACUAUAUAAUAGUUA
rnacentral:misc_RNA from 1 species